rnacentral:tRNA from 1 species
AUGGCUGAGCGGUAAGGCGCUUGACUUCUGAACAGGGGGUCUCGGGUUCGAAUCCUGGU